GAAUGAACGCUGGCGGCGCGCCUAAUACAUGCAAGUCGAGCGAGAAGACGUAGCAAUACGUUUGUAAAGCGGCGAACGGGUGAGGAAUACAUGGGUAACCUACCCUCGAGUGGGGAAUAACUAGCCGAAAGGUUAGCUAAUACCGCGUACGCUUCUUGGACUUCGGUUCAGGGAGGAAAGCGAUACCGUGGGUAUCGCGCUCUUGGAUGGGCUCAUGUCCUAUCAGCUUGUUGGUGAGGUAACGGCUCACCAAGGCUUCGACGGGUAGCUGGUCUGAGAGGACGAUCAGCCACACUGGCACUGCGACACGGGCCAGACUCCUACGGGAGGCAGCAGUAAGGAAUAUUGCGCAAGU
rnacentral:rRNA from 1 species